UACGGAGGAUCCAAGCGUUAUCCGGAUUUAUUGGGUUUAAAGGGUGCGUAGGCGGGACAGUAAGUCAGUGGUGAAAUCCUAUCGCUUAACGAUAGAAUUGCCAUUGAUACUGCUGACCUUGAGUACAAAUGAUGUGGGCGGAAUGUGCAGUGUAGCGGUGAAAUGCUUAGAUAUCGUCCAGAACACCGAUAGCGAAGGCAGCAUACUAAGGAGUAACUGACGCUGAGGCACGAAAGUGUGGGGAUCAAACAGG
rnacentral:rRNA from 1 species